CCUACGGGAGGCAGCAGUGGGGAAUUUUCCGCAAUGGGCGAAAGCCUGACGGAGCAACGCCGCGUGAGGGAUGAAGGCCUCUGGGCUGUAAACCUCUUUUAUCAAGGAAGAAGAUCUGACGGUACUUGAUGAAUAAGCCACGGCUAAUUCCGUGCCAGCAGCCGCGGUAAUACGGGAGUGGCAAGCGUUAUCCGGAAUUAUUGGGCGUAAAGCGUCCGCAGGCGGUCUUGUAAGUCUGUCGUUAAAGCGUGGAGCUUAACUCCAUUUCGGCGGUGGAAACUACAAGACUAGAGUGUGGUAGGGGCAGAGGGAAUUCCCGGUGUAGCGGUGAAAUGCGUAGAUAUCGGGAAGAACACCAGUGGCGAAGGCGCUCUGCUGGGCCAUAACUGACGCUCAUGGACGAAAGCUAGGGGAGCGAAAGGGAUUAGAUACCCCUGUAGUCCUAGCCGUAAACGAUGAACACUAGGUGUCGGGGGAAUCGACCCCCUCGGUGUCGUAGCUAACGCGUUAAGUGUUCCGCCGUGGUGGUACGCGCGCGAGUGUGAACGUACAAGAAGUAGUACGGCGUGAGACGNGCCGACGGCGACGACGAGGGAGUAGG
rnacentral:rRNA from 1 species